AAAGGCAGCCACUUCCUGGCAUCUCCCGGGCAUCCUGACCACUCAGCCCAGCAGCUGCCUGGUGGACCCCGACCCCUGAUUCUCAAUAGGGCGAGGUUAUGAAAUGGGCACCUUUUGAAAGACACAUUCAACUUUCAUAUUCAUAAAACAGAAACUGAAAACCUAUUGCUUUCACAACGCAAACCUCAAAAAGCAAGCUAGCAACAUGUCCUUGCUGGUGAGGCUCCUGGAAACAAACAGAGAUUUUCAACUGGGGACAAACCGCUGGGGGAUCUUUCAGAAUCAAAGUCGGAUGUGAAGUUCUUCCAGAUCACCCAGUUCUGCAGCCCAGCUUGCUCAGUGUGUGAAAUGCCACCAAAGGAGUCACUCUGGGACUAAGAGCUGACAGCUGACAUGAAACCUCAGAAGACCCAGGAUUCCGUCUGCCACUCACCUAGCAGACAAGGAAACAAAUCAUUAUUCGGUGAAGGACACACUGGAUUCCUGCCCUUAGGGAAAUUCUGCUUCCCUGGAGAGAGAAACUAC